UACGGAAGGGGCGAGCGUUGUUCGGAAUCACUGGGCGUAAAGCGCGCGUAGGCGGCUUUGCAAGUGCGGCGUGAAAGUCCUGGGCUCAACCUGGGGACGGCGCUGCGGACUGCAUGGCUGGAGUCCGGAAGAGGGUGGUGGAAUUCCGAGUGUAGAGGUGAAAUUCGUAGAUAUUCGGAGGAACACCGGUGGCGAAGGCGGUCACCUGGUCCGGCACUGACGCUGUAGCGCGAAAGCGUGGGGAGCAAACAGG
rnacentral:rRNA from 1 species